GACGAACGCUGGCGGCGUGCUUAACACAUGCAAGUCGAACGGAAAGGCCCUGCUUUUGUGGGGUGCUCGAGUGGCGAACGGGUGAGUAACACGUGAGUAACCUGCCCUUGACUUUGGGAUAACUUCAGGAAACUGGGGCUAAUACCGGAUAGGAGCUCCUGCUGCAUGGUGGGGGUUGGAAAGUUUCGGCGGUUGGGGAUGGACUCGCGGCUUAUCAGCUUGUUGGUGGGGUAGUGGCUUACCAAGGCUUUGACGGGUAGCCGGCCUGAGAGGGUGACCGGCCACAUUGGGACUGAGAUACGGCCCAGACUCCUAAGGGAGGCAGCAGUGGGGAAUAUUGCACAAUGGGCGGAAGCCUGAUGCAGCAACGCCGCGUGCGGGAUGACGGCCUUCGGGUUGUAAACCGCUUUCGCCUGUGACGAAGCGUGAGUGACGGUAAUGGGUAAAGAAGCACCGGCUAACUCCGUG
rnacentral:rRNA from 1 species